UCUCUCUGUCUCCCUCUCUCUCUCUGCCUCUCUGUGUCUCCCCCUCUGUCUCCCUCUCUCUCUCUCUCGCUCUCUCUCACCACUACAUCAACAGCUCCACCACUCAGCAGAAUCUGCAGUGAUGGCACCCAGCAGAACUUCAGCAUGCAGCUGGAUGUGUGUGUGUGUGUCACAGAGGAGAUGAUUGUGUAGAUUUGGUUCUGUUCCCACAGCCUCCUGAGGAACAUCUGUCUCCCAGCACUGAGACACGCAUCAACAUGAGAUCUGUCACCUGACUCACGCACCAACACUGACCUGUAUCAACACUUCAAUGACAGUAAUCAGUGACCUCCAUCCACAGCACCAGUUCCCUGUGUAGGAUCUGUGUGAGCGCAGCUGUCCUACCUCCAUGUGGGUCUCUCCUGAGUGGGGGCCCGACCUCGCUCUCCUGAAGCCACUUCAAAGAGACCUGGGACAGACGUGGGUUUGGAGCUCAGGACAGUCAGCACGGCUGAGGCUGCACCGGCCCCCGACCCCCGGCCCCUGGAGCUGGGUUUGAAGGUAAAACAGCAGGACAGCAGUUCUCUAACGGAGCGGGACAUUCCCUGAGACUGACUCUGAACACACUGCUGCUUCUUCACAUCAUCAGCCCCAGGAUCAGGCGUCCACAGAUACAGGAGAUGCUGGAACACAAGAUGAAGUGAACAAGAAGCAGCACCGCAGCGAUUAACACAACGUCAACACGGCCGUCCGACAGUAAGAUUCCUGCUGAGUCACUGCUUGUGAGGAGGGAGCUCGG